rnacentral:snoRNA from 1 species
AUCCCACGAUGAGGACACUUACCAAGUAACUCCUCAAUCGCUCCCAAGCCUCAUACAAAAACUCGUCAUCCAAUUGUUGGAAAGUUGUGAUCUCGUUCCUCAACUU